UGCCUCUGUGUGUGUGUGUGUGUGUGUGUGUGUGUGUCGGCAGAGGGCCAUAUAAAGGGAGAAGAAUCUAAAUUGAGAUUUUAAUAAAGUAUUCUGGCUAAAAACUCUGUAAUUAACUGCAUUAGUAAUUUAAUCUCUCUCAGCACAGAACAUUUUUGACUAUUAUGCGCCUGUCAUAAUUAAUUUUAUGUGUCAACUUGACUGUGCCAGAGGAUGCCCAGGUAUUUGUUUAAACAUUAUUCUGGGUGUGUCUGUGAGGGGCUUUUCUGAAUUAGAUUAACAUUUGAAUCAGUAGACAAUAAAGCAAAUUGCCCUCCUCCAUGUUGGGCACCAAAACAAUUCAUUGAAGGCCUUGAUAGAACAGAAAGGCUGAGUCAGGGCGAAUUUAUUCUCUCUCUGCUUGACUGUCUUCCUGCAGGACAUCAGGCAUCUCCUGCCUUUGCACUCGGACUUGGAACCAUACAAUCAAUCAGCUCUCCUGGGUCUCCAGCAUGUUAACUGCAGGUCUUGGGACUCUCAGCCUCCAUAAUCAUGAUUUUAAGCUAAUGGUGUCCCAGAAUACCAAAGAUUUCUAAAUCAUUCUGAAGAACAGUCGGCUUCCAGCAGCAGUGACAUUCAAGGAUGGAAAGAGAGGGGCAUGAUUCCUUUAUGGAGCAAAGUUUGAAAACUGGACGCAGAAUCACUACUAACAUUUUGGGGCCCAGCAGCUGGUAAAUAAGAGUUUGAUUUACUUUUGCAUACGGAACUAAUAUCCAAGCAUCCUUCCUAAACUGACCCCUUAAUUCAGACAGUUCGAAUGGAAGUCAUGGUGGCAGACAUCCUUAUGGUCUUACUGAUCACAGUGGAAUGGUUUCAAAAUUUCAAUAGCUCCCAAGGUUCUGCUAAAUUCCUGAUUGAACUUGAAGAGUCUCUUAGUCUCUCUGAGUCCUCAUCUCAUCUGUGAACUGUAGCUUACAUGCCUAAAUCUCAGAUUGUGAGAUAAAUUAUGAGUGCAUAAGCACUGCCUGGCUCAUGUGAUUCCUGGCAACCCAUGAUCUCAGAGAGAGAGAGAUUCCUUCUCUCCAGGAUUCUACUUGUGCCUGAAAAAAGGACUUUUGCUCUGGACAUGGCCACCCCUGGACCCAUCAGUGCAUCUCAAGGUUAUGGGGACACCUAGAUGACUCAGUCUCGGUUCAGAAGGCAUGGAAGCCAGCAUGUGAUUCACAGAAGAGCAUUUCCAGAUACAAAAAUGGCCUUUUUUUAUCACAGAAAAAGGAAAGUGACACUGAGGAAGCAAAACAGCAGACAUCUACUAUAAAAUUUUAAAAAGAAUCUCCUUCUGCUUUUUUAUUAUUCUAAACCUCUUUUUAUGUGUUUGGCUUUUAGAGUACACAUUUUCUAAGAAUUUCUUGUGUUGAAAAUAGGUGGUUAAUCUCAGAAGUGUACUCUUGGGGAACUCAAAGAUGCUUAUUUCUCUUUAUUUACAGUAUAUUUGAUAGACCUCAUAUAUUUUUUCUCCCUGUUUUUCCAUUGUCAAGUGUUUUCAAACAGAUAAGCUUCUAUGUAUUGCCUUAGGCCCAUUUUUAAAUUGAAUUGGUUUCUGUAUUAUUAUUCUUUCCAUACUGAGAACUGAACCAAAAGUUGAUAUAUUCCAGAACAGUCUAGAUAAUGCAUAUCUUUGGAAUUAUCUUCUACUUCUACUUCAUCUCUUUCUGAAGUUUUGAGCAGAUGAAUAUAUGAAAGAAUUACAAUCUCGGAAUCUAAUAUUAAUAGAAUUGCUAACAGAUCUCUUAUUCUCUAACUCUUCCCCUACCUCCCCUGAGGAUGCUUGCCUUGGAGGAGCUAUAGUUCCCAGAAUUCAAUGUUCCACCACUGCAACUACUUCCUACGCUACUCAUCCAUCACCAUCCCCUCCUAAGUUGCCUCUGCUGGAGCUGAUACUUACCAUGAAUUGAUUUCUGAAGUUCUAACACUUGGUAAGGUGAAUAAAGAGAAAAGUCGUGGGAUAGAGAGGAGGCAACUUCAAAAGCAGCCCUCCCAGAGAAAAAAAACCAGAAUCUCAUUUUCUGUUUGCUGAUCCAAGAACAGACUGGGGAGAUGGAUUAAGACCUUACAUUUAAUGAGCUGCCUCACAAGCCCAAUAAAAUGGUCCAAAGUUAGAUGUUUAAAAUCUGUUUCAUUUGCUUUACACAUAAUCCUUGCUUUUUUUUUUGUCAAAAUGUUGAUUCCUGAUCUUAGUUUACCUUACUUAAUUUUUUAUCUUUUGGGUAAGAAUUUGGGAUAGUUGCAUUAAGAGCAACUAAUAUGACUCUAUUUCAAACAGAAGAAUGAUCUUCCUGUAAUUUCUAAUUAAAAAGUGAUUCAGAAUUUCAUGAUGUUAAUGAUGUAUGUGUGCCUUAUUCUGUAGAAUAUGAAAAGCCAUUGAAGGUUUUUGAAGUUUUCUUCAAAUAAUUUUAGUUGAUGGAUUUUACUUUUGGUUGGUUCUUUAAUUUUUUGCUGUUCAUUCAAUUCUCUCUCAUCUCUAGAUUUUUUUUAAUUUAAUUUUUAUUUUA